rnacentral:rRNA from 1 species
AUCGAACGCUGGCGGCAUGCUUUACACAUGCAAGUCGAACGGUAACAGGGAGCUUGCUCCGCUGACGAGUGGCGAACGGGUGAGUAAUAUAUCGGAACGUACCCAGAAGUGGGGGAUAACGUAGCGAAAGUUACGCUAAUACCGCAUACGAUCCACGGAUGAAAGUAGGGGACCUUCGGGCCUUAUGCUUUUGGAGCGGCCGAUAUCUGAUUAGCUAGUUGGUGAGGUAAAGGCUCACCAAGGCGACGAUCAGUAGCUGGUCUGAGAGGACGACCAGCCACACUGGAACUGAGACACGGUCCAGACUCCUACGGGAGGCAGCAGUGGGGAAUUUUGGACAAUGGGCGCAAGCCUGAUCCAGCAAUGCCGCGUGAGUGAAGAAGGCCUUCGGGUUGUAAAGCUCUUUUGUCAGGGAAGAAACGGCUGUGGCUAAUAUCCACGGCUAAUGACGGUACCUGAAGAAUAAGCACCGGCUAACUACGUGCCAGCCGCCGCCGUAA